rnacentral:misc_RNA from 1 species
UAAGUUCAAACAGCAGGUAAUUGCUAUAAGUCGUUGAAGAGUUCCCUCGACUAUCUUUCGUCUCCAUCAUCAGACUGAAAUGGCACUUAUAACUCACACAUAUGCAAAGUUCUCAUCAAUAGAAACGAAUUAAGUUCACACAGCAGGUAAUUGCUAUAAAUCGUUAAAGAGUUCUCUCGACUAACUUUUGUCUCCAUCAUCAGACUGUAAUGGCACUUAUAACUCAUACAGGUGCAAUGUUCUCAUCAAUAGAAACGAAUUAAGAUCAAAAAGCAGGUAAUCGCUAUAAAUUGUUGAAGAGUUCCCUCGACUAUCUUUUUUCUCCAUCAUCAGAUCGACAUCAGACCUUUAUUAAAUAGUAGUGCUUUAUAGUACUUAAUGAAAACAUGAUCAAAUUUACUAGUCACCCUUACGAUUUUUGAAAGUUUCCCUCGAUUUCUCUGGGAUCCCAUCAUCAGAUCCUGGUUUCCUUAUCAUGGUACCAAGCUAUGGGUAUCUCCAUUCCAACAAAAAAAGAAUUAUCAAAAUCGGUUCAUAAACGAAGAAGUUAUCUCCGAACAUACAGAAAAAA